CGAGGACGAACGCUGGCGGCGUGCCUAACACAUGCAAGUCGAACGAGAAUCAUUUGGACAGAGGCUUCGGCCGACGGGAAGAUGAGGAAAGUGGCGAACGGGUGAGUAACGCGUGAGGAACCUGCCUUCCAGUGGGGACAACAGUUGGAAACGACUGCUAAUACCGCAUAACAUAUUUGAGGGGCAUCCCUUAAAUAUCAAAGCUUUAUGUGCUGGAAGAUGGCCUCGCGUCUGAUUAGCUAGUUGGUGGGGUAACGGCUCACCAAGGCGACGAUCAGUAGCCGGUCUGAGAGGAUGAACGGCCACAUUGGGACUGAGAUACGGCCCAGACUCCGUACGGGAGGCAGCAGGUGGGGAAUAGUUGGGCAAGUGGGGGAAACCCUGACCCAGCAACGCCGCGUGAAGGAAGAAGGCCUUCGGGUUGUAAACUUCUUUUAGUAGGGACGAAGAACGUGACGGUACCUACAGAAAAAGCAACGGCUAACUACGUG
rnacentral:rRNA from 1 species